rnacentral:rRNA from 1 species
GAGUUUGAUCCUGGCUCAGAUUGAACGCUGGCGGCAUGCCUUACACAUGCAAGUCGAACGGUAACAGGUUAAGCUGACGAGUGGCGAACGGGUGAGUAAUAUAUCGGAACGUGCCCAGUAGUGGGGGAUAGCCCGGCGAAAGCCGGAUUAAUACCGCAUACGACCUACGGGUGAAAGGGGGGGAUCGCAAGACCUCUCGCUAUUGGAGCGGCCGAUAUCAGAUUAGCUAGUUGGUGGGGUAAAAGCUCACCAAGGCGACGAUCUGUAGCUGGUCUGAGAGGACGACCAGCCACACUGGGACUGAGACACGGCCCAGACUCCUACGGGAGGCAGCAGUGGGGAAUUUUGGACAAUGGACGAAAGUCUGAUCCAGCCAUGCCGCGUGCGGGAAGAAGGCCUUCGGGUUGUAAACCGCUUUUGUCAGGGAAGAAAUCCUUUGAGUUAAUACCUCGGGGGGAUGACGGUACCUGAAGAAUAAGCACCGGCUAACUACGUGCCAGCAGCCGCGGUAAUACG